rnacentral:rRNA from 1 species
CAACCUGCCUUCAAGAGGGGGAUAGCACCUGGAAACGGGUGGUAAUACCGCAUAAGACCACAGUGCCGCAUGGCACAGAGGUCAAAGGAGCAAUCCGCUUGAAGAUGGGCUCGCGUCCGAUUAGAUAGUUGGUGAGGUAACGGCUCACCAAGUCGACGAUCGGUAGCCGGACUGAGAGGUUGAACGGCCACAUUGGGACUGAGACACGGCCCAGACUCCUACGGGAGGCAGCAGUGGGGGAUAUUGCACAAUGGGCGAAAGCCUGAUGCAGCGACGCCGCGUGAGGGAAGACGGCCUUCGGGUUGUAAACCUCUGUCAUUCGGGACGAAGUAUGACGGUACCGAAGAAGGAAGCUCCGGCUAACUACGUGCCAGCAGCCGCGGUAAUACGUAGGGAGCGAGCGUUGUCCGGAAUUACUGGGUGUAAAGGGAGCGUAGGCGGGAAAGCAAGUUGGAAGUGAAAUGCAUGGGCUUAACCCAUGAGCUGCUUUCAAAACUGUUUUUCUUGAGUGAAGUAGAGGCAGGCGGAAUUCCUAGUGUAGCGGUGAAAUGCGUAGAUAUUAGGAGGAACACCAGUGGCGAAGGCGGCCUGCUGGGCUUUAACUGACGCUGAGGCUCGAAAGCGUGGGUAGCAAACAGGAUUAGAUACCCUGGUAGUCCACGCUGUAAACGAUGAUUACUAGGUGUGGGGGAUUUCGGUCCUCCG